UACGGGGGGAGCAAGCGUUGUUCGGAUUUACUGGGCGUAAAGGGCGCGUAGGCGGCGCAACAAGUCACUUGUGAAAUCUCCGGGCUUAACCCGGAGCGGUCAAGUGAUACUGUCGUGCUAGAGUGCGGAAGGGGCAACUGGAAUCCUCGGUGUAGCGGUGAAAUGCGUAGAUAUCGAGAGGAACACCGGUGGCGAAGGCGGGUCUCUGGGCCGUAACUGACGCUGAGGAGCGAAAGCAUGGGGAGCGAACAGG
rnacentral:rRNA from 1 species